rnacentral:tRNA from 1 species
AGGAAUGUGACUCAAUGGUAGAAUAUUUGCCUAGUAAGCAUAAAGUACUGGGUUCUAUCUCCCAGCACUACAA